UUGCCAGACUCCUACGGGAGGCAGCAGUGGGGAAUAUUGCACAAUGGGGGAAACCCUGAUGCAGCGACGCCGCGUGAGUGAAGAAGUAAUUCGUUACGUAAAGCUCUAUCAGCAGGGAAGAGAAUGACGGUACCUGAGUAAGAAGCCCCGGCUAACUACGUGCCAGCAGCCGCGGUAAUACGUAGGGGGCAAGCGUUAUCCGGAUUUACUGGGUGUAAAGGGAGCGUAGACGGCCGUGCAAGUCUGAUGUGAAAACCCGGGGCUCAACCCCGGGACUGCAUUGGAAACUGCAUGGCUGGAGUGUCGGAGAGGCAAGUGGAAUUCCUAGUGUAGCGGUGAAAUGCGUAGAUAUUAGGAGGAACACCAGUGGCGAAGGCGGCUUGCUGGACGACGACUGACGUUGAGGCUCGAAAGCGUGGGGAGCAAACAGGAUUAGAUACCCGAGUAUC
rnacentral:rRNA from 1 species